AUACGUAGGUGGCAAGCGUUGUCCGGAAUUAUUGGGCGUAAAGCGCAUGUAGGCGGUUUGGUAAGUCGGUCGUGAAAAUGCGGGGCUCAACCCCGUAUGGCGCUGGAAACUGGUAGGCUUGAGUGCAGGAGAGGAAAGGGGAAUUCCCAGUGUAGCGGUGAAAUGCGUAGAUAUUGGGAGGAACACCAGUGGCGAAGGCGCCUUUCUGGACUGUGUCUGACGCUGAGAUGCGAAAGCCAGGGUAGCGAACGGGAUUAGAUACCCCGGUAGUCCUGGCUGUAAACGAUGGGUACUAGGUGUGGGAGGUAUCGACUCCUUCCGUGCCGGAGUUAACGCAAUAAGUACCCCGCCUGGGGAGUACGGCCGCAAGGCUUAAACUCAAAGGAAUUGACGGGG
rnacentral:rRNA from 1 species